GGAGAGAGAGGAGAGUUUUCUAGGGAGAGAAAAUUUUCUGCGGCGGACAGAGGAAAGUUUGAAAAUUGGGCAGCCAAAUUUUAUAUAGAUGCACGGAGAUCGGAGCAGGAGAAUUGGAAUUCAGUUGUGAAAGAAAAGUGGUGGCUAAUUUUCACAUGCUGGAGAAAUUGAGAGCCUUUUUUUUUUUUUUUUUUUUUUUUUUAAGCAAAUACCACUAGUGUGGUUUAUUUUAUAUAAUGAAAUGCGGGAAAACAAAUAGAGGAGGGGGGCAUGGACCUGACCUCCAGCAAAUGUAAAUUGUAACAAAUAUUUGAAGAUAGAAUGCAAUCACAGUAAACAAGACAUGAACAAAAACUAAUGAAAGGUACUCAAGGGUAUUCCCGAGGGUAAAUCUUCGGGUGGUAGUACAUAGACAUUGAUCGAGUCAUGCGUCUGGUUUGAAACAUUUUCGGAUCAUAGUAGUCUGCGAUGUCUGGCUCGCUCGUUGGAGAGGGGUCUCUCUUGCGUGUAGGAGCCUGCUUUGUUGAUAAGUACUGUUCAGAUGGUGGUGCACUGAAUGUCGGGCGAAAAGCGGGUGCAUCUAAUCUCAUUGUACUAGUCAUAGGUGCGUCUAAUCUCAUGGUGUUCUGUGCUACGACAUCUGAAUCGUGGGAGAUUGACCUGCUUGCUGUAGGGACAUCGUCCUCUGCAUUUUGCAUGCAGUUUUCAAGGCCCAUGCCAUCCAUGUCUCUCUGUAUAUGUUCUUUCACCUUAUUGUGUGUAGGAGCUGUGAUAGAAGGACUAGGUGAAGGUGUAUGCGUAGGAGUCUUACUCACAGAAGGUCCCUCUCCAAAGAGCUUAAAAACCAAGUCCUCAAUAGAAAAUCUCAUGGUAGAACCAACUUUCAUUCCAUGGUCCUUCUUAAAGUGAUCAAUCAGCAUAUGCUUGACACCAUGUCGCUCUGAGCUGAUCUCAGCCAACAACCCCUGUGCAAGAGUGGUUUGAGGAACUUUCCCGAUACCUGAUCCCUGCGCUGACUGAGUACCAUCUGUGUGUGUCUUCAAUGGUGGAGAACUCAUAUGCGUUGGCUCAGGGGGUACAUCAGUAGUAGUUGUGGGAAUAGGAGCUAUGGAAGUAAUAAUAGGAGAAGUGGGUACCUCGAUAGGAGCAUUUGGAGUAGGCUCAGCAACUGAAUGAAUAUGCGGAGGUACCUCUGGAUCAACUGUGAUACGAGUAGAGGUAGGAACUGUCGAUGCAGAUUCUGACUCUAUCACAACUGCGGUAGUAGUAGUGGGAUGCACAGAAGGCACUGCUGAAACUGGAACCCACUGCUUCUUUGGCUCCACAAACGUCACCUUGCCCUUAUCCUUAUCAGUCCUAGUAAUAGGGGGCCGAACAGGGGGGUGCACAACAACUGUAGGAGAAGGAGGAGGAACUAUGGUACACUGAUCAUAAGAAUGACCCAAGUGUUUACAAGAGAAGCAAAAAAUUGGCCACUUCUCAUAAAUAACUGUCUGCCAGAAGCCACGGUUACCAGCACGCUCAAUCCAAACCUUGUCGGGCAACUUAUGCUCCAAAUUCACUUCAAUGCACACCCUUGCCUCACUAGGUCGUCUCAAGUCAGUGGUGGCCUCAUCAAUUCUCAAGGGCAUUCCUAUUGCCCCAGAUAAGGCGAAAAGGAACCCCUUCGCACGUAAAUGUACUGGAAGCAGAGGGAACGAUACCCAUACAGGAACUAUCGAAGUCUCUUGCUCAGGUGUAAAGUCACAUGUCCACUUAAGGACUCUCAUCGGACAACCAUCAAUAUACCAUGGAGAAAUUGAGAGCUUUGGGGGCCAAUUGUAGACAAUUAUACGAACAGAAAACGAGAACAAUUGCUGUGACUUAAGAGGAAAAUUUAAGUGCAAACUGCUGGAAUUAAUCACCACACAAACGGAGAUACAAAAGACGACAGAAAAUGGAGAUUCACGUGCUAAAAGUUUAAUCAUGUUCCGUCAAAACCCGGUGGUAUCUUCUAUCAAUUUAUUUUGCUUUUCUCUUAUUAAUAUGAGUAGAUAAAUUUAUUUUUAGGGAGAACAAUGUAACUUUUUUGGAACAAUUUAUUUCAUUGAAUUAAGAUUCUAG
rnacentral:lncRNA from 1 species